GUUGAAACACCGGUUUCCAUACGAUCACUGAUGUUAAGCAACGUCGAGCCUGGUUAGUACCUAGAUGGGUGACCGCUUUGGAAUACCACGUGCUGUAA